rnacentral:rRNA from 1 species
GAUGAACGCUGGCGGCGUGCCUAAUACAUGCAAGUCGAGCGAAUGGAUUAAGAGCCUGCUCUUAUGAAGUUAGCGGCGGACGGGUGAGUAACACGUGGGUAACCUGCCCAUAAGACUGGGAUAACUCCGGGAAACCGGGGCUAAUACCGGAUAACAUUUUGAACCGCAUGGUUCGAAAUUGAAAGGCGGCUUCGGCUGUCACUUAUGGAUGGACCCGCGUCGCAUUAGCUAGUUGGUGAGGUAACGGCUCACCAAGGCAACGAUGCGUAGCCGACCUGAGAGGGUGCUCGGCCAAACUGGGACGGAGACACGGCCCAGACUCCUACGGGAGGCAGCAGUAGGGAAUCUUCCGCAAUGGACGAAAGUCUGACGGAGCAACGCCGCGUGAGUGAUGAAGGCUUUCGGGUCGUAAAACUCUGUUGUUAGGGAAGAACAAGUGCUAGUUGAAUAAGCUGGCACCUUGACGGUACCUAACCAGAAAGCCACGGCUAACUACGUGCCAGCCGCCGCCGUAA